GACCUGAGAAUGGCCAUUGCUUUGUGACUAUGUAAUGAAAUGGGUCAUUACUCCCAGAGUGCCCGGGAGCCCCGGACCUGAUCCUGUGGAGGUGGAAAACGGGUUUUCAUGGAAGGGAAGAGAACUGCUCUAGGCAGAUCCCUUUGCAAAGACCAGACGUGGAUAUACAAGACACUGGCAGGGUGUUAUGGGGAGGAGAGGAGCUAAGCAGCCUGCAGCGCCUGCCCACGGACACGGGGCCUGGACCCGGACCCCUGAGAUGCGUGCAGGCAAAUCACACAGGCAAAACCACGAUGUGGGGGAGAGCGUAGCCUAGAAGUGUCAAUCAGGGAGGGCGGCAGCGCUCCGGCUGUCGCCCACCAACCCGGCAGUCAGAAGGCAGCACAGCGCCUGCUUGUUUCACGUAAAACCCAAUCUGGUGCCUUCCCAAAGUGACCACAGUGACAGCCUGGAAGCUCUCAGCCCUGCCUGCCUGGUCUUCCCAGACGAAGAGCUGUUGUGACCAUCGUUUUUUCAGUCUUUCUGCUAGACUUUUUGAUAAGAGAAACGACAUCCCCGAGCACAGCUCUCCCGCGUGGAGGACGGGGCUCUCCCAGGCUCUUCCUUGUUCACACGAGGCUGAUUCAAAAAAGAUGUUGGCAAAAGAUGUUACGGAGCUUUCAGACCAAAUCUCUUUUCGGACUGUGACACUUCCUUCUCUCCUUCCUCAGACAGGAAUCGCACCAGUCUGGACUGCAUUCCCCUGUGUUCCCAUAGCUGGAAAAAGGAGACACCAGUGACUAGGAACAAUCCCUCCGGAUUACUUUCUUUUUUUUUUCAACCAAAUAGGGCGGAUCAGCCCUUUGUCCUGCAAGUUUUCCCAGCGCAUCGUUCGCCAUACACAAGACCAAUGCGCUCACCACCCAAAGGACAGAAACAGGUCUGGUCUCGUCGCUCAAGCCACGAUGAGUAAGAGAAGGAACGUUUUCUGUAAAGGCAUGUGCAGGGCUUAUCUUUGGGAAAAAAGUCAAAUAAUAGAAUUCUCAACAAAAAAUCCUCUUUCGGCUGCUGACAGGACCACAGGCUCCCUCCUCAGAAGCCCUCGUGACGAAGACGGUUCAGUUCUGCACCAGGUGGCACAGCGCGAUGGGGCAGCUGGGCCUCCUUGGGGACCAAAACGCCUCUCACACGUAGGAGCUACGACGACCUGCGGCUCCCCCGCCUCUGCCCCCGAGGAUCACUCUACAAAACAGAAAGAAGCUCCAAUAAUCCAGCAACAAUUUCACCCCCUCCCAAAUAUAAUUGCGUUCUUUUCUCACAAGUGUUUAGCAAAUGUAACCUCUGUGUUUUAUCACUUACAUUCAUUGAUCAAACUGAUGUGUUUCUCUUUUGGACAGUCAUUACAUCUGAAAGUUUACAACUAG
rnacentral:lncRNA from 1 species